GCUACACAUGCAGUCGAACGAAGUAGCAAUACUUAGUGGCAGACGGGUGAGUAACAUGUGGGUAUCUACCCUUUGGCCUGGAAUAACACGAGGAAACUUGUGCUAAUACCGGAUAAGUCUUUACGGAGAAAGCUUUAUGCACCAUUGGAUGAGCCCGCACUUGAUUAGUUUGUUGGUAGGGUAAUGGCCUACCAAGACUAUGAUCAAUAGCUGAUUUGAGAGGAUGAUCAGCCACAUUGGGACUGAGACACGGCCCAAACUCCUACGGGAGGCAGCAGUGGGGAAUCUUGCACAAUGGAGGAAACUCUGAUGCAGCGAUGCCGCGUGAGUGAAGAAGGCCCUUGGGUUGUAAAGCUCUUUCGUCGGGGAAGAAAAUGACUGUACCCGAAUAAGAAGGUCCGGCUAACUUCGUGCCAGCAGCCGCGGUAAUACGAAGGGACCUAGCGUAGUUCGGAAUUACUGGGCUUAAAGAGUUCGUAGGUGGUUGAAAAAGUUGGUGGUGAAAUCCCAGAGCUUAACUCUGGAACUGCCAUCAAAACUUUUCAGCUAGAGUAUGAUAGAGGAAAGCAGAAUUUCUAGUGUAGAGGUGAAAUUCGUAGAUAUUAGAAAGAAUACCAAUUGCGAAGGCAGCUUUCUGGAUCAUUACUGACACUGAGGAACGAAAGCAUGGGUAGCGAAGAGGAUUAGAUACCCUCGUAGUCCAUGCCGUAAACGAUGUGUGUUAGACGUUGGAAAUUUAUUUUCAGUGUCGCAGGGAAACCGAUAAACACACCGCCUGGGGAGUACGACCGCAAGGUUAAAACUCAAAUGAAUUGACGGGGACCCGCACAAGUAGUGGAGCAUGUGGUUUAAUUCGAAGAUACGCGCAGAACCUUACCAACACUUGACAUGUUCGUCGCGACUCUAGAGAUUAGAGUUUUCGGUUCGGCCGGACGAACACAGGUGCUGCAUGGCUGUCGUCAGCUCGUGUCGUGAGAUGUUGGGUUAAGUCCCGCAACGAGCGCAACCCU
rnacentral:rRNA from 1 species